rnacentral:rRNA from 1 species
GAUAAACGCUGGCGGCGUGCUUAACACAUGCAAGUCGAACGAAGUUUUUCUUUCGGGAGGAACUUAGUGGCGGACGGGCGAGUAACGCGUGGGUAACCUGCCCUGUCCAGGGGGACAACAGCUGGAAACGGCUGCUAAUACCGCAUAAGCCCUUAGCACUGCAUGGUGCAUAGGGAAAAGGAGCAAUCCGGUACAGGAUGGACCCGCGUCUGAUUAGCCAGUUGGCAGGGUAACGGCCUACCAAAGCGACGAUCAGUAGCCGAUCUGAGAGGAUGUACGGACACACUGGGACUGAGCCACGGCCCAGACUCCUACGGGAGGGAGCAGUGGGGAAUAUUGCAAAAUGGAGGAAACUCUGAUGCAGCGACGCCGCGUGAGUGAAGAAGUAUUUCGGUAUGUAAAGCGCUAUCAGCAGGAAAGAAAAUGACGGUACCUGACUAAGAAGCACCGGCUAACUACGUG